CAGUCGAAGCGAAGCUAUUUUUUUGAACCUUCGGAGGAAAUUAAAUAGACUGAGUGGCGAACGGGUGAGUAAUACGCAAGAACCUACCUCUAGGAAGGGGAUAACAAUUGGAAACGAUUGCUAAUACCCUAUAUGCUUCCGAGUAAAAUAGUUUUUUGCCUGGAGAGGGGCUUGUGCCUGAUUAGCUAGUUGGUUAGGUAAUGGCUAACCAAGGCGACGAUCAGUAGCUGGCUUGAGAGGGCGACCAGCCACACUGGGACUGAGACACGGCCCAGACUCCUACGGGAGGCAGCAGUGAGGAAUUUUCCGCAAUGAGCGAAAGCUUGACGGAGCAAUACCGCGUGGAGGACGAAGGCUCAUGGGUCGUAAACUCCUUUUCUUAGGGAAGAAUUUUGACGGUACCUAAGGAAUAAGCAUCGGCUAAUUCCGUGCCAGCAGCCGCGGUAAGACGGGAGAUGCAAGCGUUAUUCGGAUUUAUUGGGCGUAAAGGGUCUGUAGGUUGUUGGUUAAGUCUAUGGUCAAAUUCCGAAGCUCAACUUCGGGCCGGCACUAGAAACUAAUCAACUUGAGUACGUUAGAGGCAGGGGGAAUUCCCAGUGUAGCGGUGAAAUGCGUAUAUNUUGNGAGGAACAUCAAUGGCGAAGGCACCCUGCUAGGCCGAUACUGACACUG
rnacentral:rRNA from 1 species